GUGGGGAAUUGUUCGCAAUGGGCGAAAGCCUGACGACGCAACGCCGCGUGGAGGAUGAAGAUCUUCGGGUCGUAAACUCCUUUCGAUCGAGACGAAUUCCUUCCGGGUGAAUAGCCCGGGAGGUUGACGGUACCGAGAGAAGAAGCCCCGGCUAACUCCGUGCCAGCAGCCGCGGUAAUACGGGGGGGGCAAGCGUUGUUCGGAAUUACUGGGCGUAAAGGGCCCGUAGGCGGCCAACUCAGUCAGACGUGAAAUCCCUCGGCUUAACCGGGGAACUGCGUCUGAUACUGGAUGGCUCGAGUCCGGGAGAGGGAUGCGGAAUUCCAGGUGUAGCGGUGAAAUGCGUAGAUAUCUGGAGGAACACCGGUGGCGAAGGCGGCAUCCUGGACCGGCACUGACGCUGAGGGGCGAAAGCCAGGGGAGCAAACGGGAUUAGAUACCCGUGUAGUCC
rnacentral:rRNA from 1 species